UACGUAGGGUGCGAGCGUUAAUCGGAAUUACUGGGCGUAAAGCGUGCGCAGGCGGUUUUGUAAGCCAGAUGUGAAAGCCCCGGGCUCAACCUGGGAAUGGCAAUGGAAACUGGCGAGCUAGAGUACGGUAGAGGAGAGUGGAAUUCCCCGGUGUAGCAGUGAAAUGCGUAGAGAUCGGGAGGAACAUCAGUUGCGAAGGCGGCUCUCUGGACCAGUACUGACGCUGAGGCACGAAAGCGUGGGGAGCAAACAGGG
rnacentral:rRNA from 1 species